UCUAUACGAUCUCUUUCUUUCUCAUGCGCUUUAUUUAGGGUUAUAUUCCACCGAAGUUGCAUUACUUUUCAACGUUUUGUGCAAUAAUUGUGUAGUAGUAGACCACCAAUACAUUGGUUCAUAAACCAAAUAUUUUGCGUUUUUUAUAGAGGUUACCAAGUUAACAAGCUUUCCUCUUUUCGGGAAAUGAAACCGAAAGUUCCUAGAUAUGAUCUGCUGAAACGGAAUUGGUUAGAUCGGCAUAUAUUGCUGGCAUAAUCUGACAGGAAGUUCCUAUAACAAGUUUCAGCACUAAUUUCUGAUUUUAAAUUAGUUAUUUAAUUCUGAAGAUGUCACAUUUGAAUUACAAGGAGCGUUAUGGUUGCCGACGGCUGUUAGAGAUGAUGACAAAGGAUGACAUAUCCUCACUUCGAUUUACUAUCACUAACAAAAAGAAGGAUCUUUUCGACAGCACAUCAGAAUCAAUUGAUGCCAUCCUUUCAAACACAGAGAAUACAGAGGCAUUCCUGAAACGCAGGAAAGUUCAACGUGACUUCAUAUUCAAAUACCUGACGGAGGACGAGGGGGUUGUGAUACCCAAAAACAGCAACAAAGACCAGCUAGUGAAGAAGGCCCUUGACGUCUGGACUAUUGAGAAGGUGAGUCCACAAGCGUAUGAAGAUGUCUCCUUCAGUGCUUUAACAAGAGCAGCAGGUUCUCAGAUAGGAAUGAGGUUUCCAACAGCACAAGUCUCCCCUCAACCUGUCUACUCUAAGCCGCACUACACAUCCCAGAUGUUGGACCUUCAAAGCCCAGCAGCUGAGACCAAUCCAGGACCAGCUGUGACUAUUGUGAGACAAAUUGAGACUAGUUUGAGACCAAUUGGUCUGAGAACAAGUGAGAGUGUCUCUGUUUCCUCUGAGGCGACAUACAGUGCUGGCUUUGACCACCUGGCCUUGGCCAGACAGUUUUGUCAGUGGUUCUUCCAGCUUCUCAACAGUCUGAACCCCUCCCUGGGUCAGCCUCCUCAGGAGUGGGGACCACAACACUUCUGGGAGGAUGUGAGGCUACGUCUUCUCUCCAGCGCCGGAGAGCAGUAUACAGAAGAGUACGAAGGAGCAGCAAUGAUCAGCCUGCGUCUCCUGGCCCUGGCGAGGGACGAGAGGCUGCUAUUGAGCCCCAACUUGGAGCCUGGUGGUCUGAAGGCCCUGUCCUCCCCCCACGGCCUGGUGCUGGUGGCUGUGGCAGGGACCAUCCACAGAGACAGAGAAUGUGUCGGCAUUUAUGAGCAGGCGUUUGGCCUCAUACGCUCCCCACUGGACCAGAACAAAUGGAAGAUCAAGUUCAUGGUCUUGAAGGUGAGGGGCCAGGAGGCUCUCAGGGUGGGAGAGCACCUGCUGUCUCCAAUAUUAACAUGGGAUUCCAACGACCUGCAGCUCCUCUGUAGAUGAUGGGGGACCUGGUGUGAUCGUCAGCAGGGUUCUUCAACCGAGGGUCCGCAGAUUGACAAAGUCCCAACAUUCCACAAGGGGGCAGGCAUGCUACAUCAAGGAGAAUUUAUAUUUUGAUCCUCAGCCAAAUCGAAUGCUUUUAAAGCGAUUACGUGGGGAAAGUAAUCAAUUCCUAAGCACAGCCUGGGCUACUUUAUGUACGCUGGCAGUGUCUUGUAGCCUAGGUCGUGAACAAAACAGUAAAUUUGAGAGUUUACCGUGAAUUGUCUGCCAUUAAAUUAAUAUGGUUGUAAACUAUUGCCUUUCAAAGGUAUGAAAACACAUAUUUGGAAACACAUAUUUGACUAGUUAUUGAAGUGCCAGUGAAGUGGAUUUAUGUUGUAGAACUAUAAUCAAUCAAUAGACAAUAAUAUUUCUCUUCAACGUUGAGUAACAAAUCACAUUAAGAGGUAAAUUCAAUCAAAGUUUUUUCAAUGUGAUUGCUGUCUCCGAAGUGCUACUCAUUCAGAGCAUUCCCAACAUAUACAAGCUUUGACAAACUAUUGUUGAGAAGACUUGUAUAAAAAAUAUAACAAACUUGUAUAGGAAAAAUGGGGGUUAGGGUGAUGGUUGACAUAUCAUGUCACCUUCUCUCUUCCUUUCUUCCCUUUAUGUUAGCUAAAUAAAUGCAUCGAUUUACACCUGGCAUACUUUUCCUGUUUCCGGGUAAAUCGAUGUGGACUAGAUAGGCAGAUAUCAGAGUUUCUAACAGUGCUCUGUGCUUCGGCCCGGUGUAGAUUUACACUCACAUGAUUAGCUCACAUAAACACUGGAAACCUUAGGACACGAGGGAAUGCACAGGAUCCCAGGAAACAAACAGGCGAAUAGUGAGAGGAUCCCGUUGCUGUGACGGUUUAGUUUAGCAUCAAUUAACCCAAACAACAACCAGAACACUUUCUACAGGAAAAUAACUGUAUUUAUAAAAGGGGAAAAUACAUGGAGAAAUGCACCUAAAUACAUUAAGCUAACAUGGAGGUUUCAAUCAGAAGAGGUUCAAAUAAACCAGGAAACAAUCACUGCUUUCCAUCAUCCUAUACAGUGGUUGAAUUGGGGUGGGUGGGGCUGGUGCGUUGAACCAGGAACUCAGAUUUUCUACUGCUUGAAUGCCAGCUCAAAAAUGGUUAAUCCACAAUACAUAUCAGGGAGUAUGAGUGUACAAUUUUAUUUUUCAAACACACAGCCCUAUAGAACAUACAGCCCCAUCCCACCAUUUCCUCCAUACUGCAGUGUUCCUCUCUGAUAGCCAGGCCUUCACCACGUAGAACAGGGCCCUGACGGUUCUCUCAGCUUGGCUCUAAAUAGAGAUGAUCACGUUAUCAGAGCGUUGCCAGGAGGUUGUCAGCUUGCGUUGGGCCUGCUGGCCAUCCUGAACAGAGCGGCCGGUUGGCGGAUGUGUGUUGGUGCCAGCCUCCCAGCACCCGUCCUCCAGGACAUCUGCCUGCCCACGCUGCAUCUUAAUCCCCAUCUCUCUCAGCCUCUCCCUCCAGCCCUCAGCCCACUGCUCGCCGGUUUGUAUUAAUUGCCCUUGCCUCGCUCGCUGUUUGCUUCUGAUUACACUCAUUAAUUUCAAUUCCCAGGGAACCCAGCCGCCGAUUUACACAAACACACACAAACACACACACACACUAUGACAUCAGUGCCUGGACAUUUGGAUGCUAUUAAUUGUUAUUAAUAGCAGCAAUGUUCACUCCCCGCCUCUCGCUGUCUGAAAGUAGACUGCCAGUGUGAAGGGUGAAGAUGGGUACUGACCAUAUGACCUUAUGUUCCUAUGCCCAUAGCCCAGCCUCCAGAUACCCAGGAGGUGGCUCAGAUCUAGACCCAUGCUUAAUCUUGAGAAUUAUUCAAUAUCCUGUAUAACUACUGCUGUACACACAUUUCUACUCACACACUGUCAAUACUUCCUUAAGAAAAUAAGGUGCUAUCUAGAACCUAAAGGGGUUCUUCAUCUGCCCUCAUAGGUGAACCCUUUAAAGAACCCGUUUUAGUUCCAGGUAGAACCCCUUUGAGUUCCAUGUAGAACCCUUUCCACAGAGGCUUCUACAUGGAACCCAAAAUAAUUCUACCUGUAACCAAAAAUGUAACCAAAAAUGAUUUUACCUGGAAUCAAAAAGGGUUAUCCUAUUGGGACACCUGAAGAGCCCUUUUGGAACCCUUUUUGAAGAGUGUACUGUCUAUAGACACCAUUCACAUACACAUAUAUUUCGAUUCCGGACUCUGGUCCGGAAGCUCAUUUCCUGCAAUUCUGUCAAUUUUCCCAUGGGCUUUGUACUGCAUAUUUGAAUACUGUAUUCUUGACAGCUGUCUAAUAUUUUUGCUACUGUACAUUGUAUUUUAGUUACACUGUUUAUACACCACUUAUUGAUAGGUAUACUGGAUUUUUGACAUAGCUCACUCUUAUAAACUCAGCAAAAAAAGCUGGACCCUGUCUUUCAAAGAUAAUUCAUAAAAAUUCCAAACAACUACCCAGAUCUUCAUUGUAAAGGGUUUAAACACGCUUGUUCAAUGAACCAUAAACAAUUAAUGAACACGCACCUUUGGAACGGUCGUUAAGACACUAACAGCUUUCAGAUGGUAGGCAAUUAAGGUCACAGUUAUGAAAACUUAGGACACUAAAGAGGCCUUUCUACUGACUCUGAAAAACACCAAAAGAAAGAUGCCCAUCUGCAUGAAAGUGCCUCAGGCAUGCUGCAAGGAGGCAUGAGGACUGCACGUGGCCAGGGCAAACAAAUGCCCAAAAAAUACCCAGUACUAGCAAAAAGUGCUCUUCACUGACGAGUUGCAGUUUUGUCUCACCAGGGGUGAUGUUCGGAUUUGCGUUUAUCGUCGAAGGAAUGAGCAUUACACCAAGGACUGUACUCUGGAGCGGGAUCGAUUUGGAGGUGGAGGGUCCGUCAUGGUCUGGGGCGGUGUGUCACAGCAUCAUUGGACUGAGCUUGUUGUCAUUGCAGGCAAUCUCAAUGCUGUGCGUUACAGGGAAGACAUCCUCCUCCCUCAUGUGCUACCCUUCCUGCAGGCUCAUCCUGACAUGACCCUCCAGCAUGACAAUGCCACCAGCCAUACUGCUCAUUCUGUGCGUGAUCUACUGCAAGACAGGAAUGUCAGUGUUCUGCCAUGGCCAGUGAAGAGCCCGGAUCUCAAUCCCAUUGAGCACGUCUGGGACCUGUUGGAUCGGAGGGUGAGGGCUAGGGCCAUUCCCCCCAGAAAUGUCUGGGACCUUGCAGGUGCCUUGGUGGAAGAGUGGAGUAACAUCUCACAGCAAGAACUGGCAAAUCUGGUGCAGUCCAUGAGAUGCACUGCAGUACUUAAUGCAGCUGGUGGCCACACCAGAUACUGACUGUUACUUUUUGACCCCCCUUUGUUCAAGGACACAUUAUUCCAUUCUGUUAGACGCAUGUCUGUGGAACUUGUUUAGUUUAUGUCUCAGUUGUUGAAUCUUGUUAUGUUCAUACAAAUAUAUAAAAUCAACACUGUUGACAGUGAGAGGACGUUUAUUUUUUU